rnacentral:rRNA from 1 species
CAGCAGCCGCGGUAAUACAUAGGGUGCGAGCGUUAAUCGGAUUUACUGGGCGUAAAGCGUGCGUAGGCGGCUUUUUAAGUCGGAUGUGAAAUCCCUGAGCUUAACUUAGGAAUUGCAUUCGAUACUGGGAAGCUAGAGUAUGGGAGAGGAUGGUAGAAUUCCAGGUGUAGCGGUGAAAUGCGUAGAGAUCUGGAGGAAUACCGAUGGCGAAGGCAGCCAUCUGGCCUAAUACUGACGCUGAGGUACGAAAGCAUGGGGAGCAAACAGGAUUAGAUACCCCAGUAGUCCCUGUCUCUUAUAC